AGGACGAACGCUGGCGGCGUGCUUAACACAUGCAAGUCACGGGGGCCCGCAAGGGUAACCGGCGAACGGGUGCGUAACACGUGAGCAACCUGCCUAGAUGUGGGGGAUAGCCGGCCCAACGGCCGGGUAAUACCGCAUACGGUCACGAGGAGGAGUCUCCUUGUGAAGAAACCUCCGGGGCAUUUAGAGGGGCUCGCGGCCUAUCAGCUAGUUGGCGGGGUAAUGGCCCACCAAGGCUUCGACGGGUAGCUGGUCUGAGAGGAUGGCCAGCCACAUUGGGACUGAGAGACGGCCCAGACUCCUACGGGAGGCAGCAGUGGGGAAUCUUGCGCAAUGGCCGAAAGGCUGACGCAGCGACGCCGCGUGUGGGAGGACGCCCUUCGGGGUGUAAACCACUGUUGCCCGGGACGAACAUCCACUUUCGAGUGGACUGACGGUACCGGGUGAGGAGCACCGGCUAACUCCGCGCCAGCAGCCGC
rnacentral:rRNA from 1 species